rnacentral:rRNA from 1 species
GAGUUUGAUCAUGGCUCAGAUUGAACGCUGGCGGCAGGCCUAACACAUGCAAGUCGAGCGCGAAAACACUUCGGUGUGAGUAAAGCGGCGGACGGGUGAGUAACGCGUAGGAAUCUACCUAGUAGUGGGGGACAACUCGGGGAAACUCGAGCUAAUACCGCAUACGCCCUACGGGGGAAAGCGGGGGACCUUCGGGCCUCGUGCUAUUAGAUGAGCCUGCGUUGGAUUAGCUAGUUGGUGGGAUAAUGGCCUACCAAGGCGACGAUCCAUAGCUGGUCUGAGAGGAUGAUCAGCCACACCGGGACUGAGACACGGCCCGGACUCCUACGGGAGGCAGCAGUGGGGAAUAUUGCGCAAUGGGCGAAAGCCUGACGCAUCCAUGCCGCGUGUGUGAAGAAUGCCUUCGGGUUGUAAAGCACUUUCAAUUGGGAGGAAAGGUUCACGGUUAAUAACCGUGAGCUGUGACGUUACCUUUAGAAGAAGCACCGGCUAACUCCGUGCCAGCAGCCGCGGUAAUACGGAGGGUGCAAGCGUUAAUCGGAAUUACUGGGCGUAAAGCGCGCGUAGGUGGUCUGUUAAGUCGGAUGUGAAAGCCCCGGGCUCAACCUGGGAACUGCAUUCGAUACUGGCAGACUAGAGUGCGGGAGAGGGAGGUAGAAUUCCAUGUGUAGCGGUGAAAUGCGUANAUAUGUGGAGGAAUACCAGUGGCGAANGCGGGCUCCUGGCUCGACACUGACACUGACGCGCGAAAGCGUGGGGAGCAAACAGAUGANAUACCCUGGUAGUCCACGCCGUAACGAUGUCUACUAGCUGUAGGGUACUUGAGACCUUUGUAGCGCACUAACGCAAUAAGUAGACCGCCUGGGGAGUACNGCCGCAACGUUAAAACUCANNGAAUUGACNGGAGCCCGNNNAAGCAGUGGAGCAUGGUGGUUUNAUUCGAUGCAACGCGAAGCAACNUNCANGCCUUGACAUCNCGNNCGAUCUAGAGAUAGAUUGAUGCCCUUC